GAUGCUGACAGAACCCGAGGCCGGGAAGAAGAGGCGCGCCUGGCACUUGGGAUCCGGGCAACUCCCGGAAAGGAUUCUCCGGUCCCUUCGUUUCGAAAGGCCCCCCGGAGUAGCCGCCGCCGCCAGAGACGACGAAGUCUGCGGAGCCUCGGGGGGAGGCGGCGGCGGCGGCAGCGGAGGAGGCGGCGGCGGCUGAGACAUCGCGCUCGGCUCUCGCUCUGCGUCCCAAGCGACCCUCAAAGGCGCAUAGCCAGACCUCCGCCGGCCCGACGAGGUCUAGUCCAGGCCCAGGGCGAAUGGCUUUCCUUUUCCUACCAGUUCCUCCUCCUCCUAGGCGAGGGCGGAAGCGCCGGACGUUGUUUCUCUUCUCACUUCUCCACUGCCUCAGCCGUUGCCCCGAACGUAACGGCCACCACCCCACCCCGCACUCACACUCACUCACUCUCGCUCUCUCCCUCAGACACAGACAUACACGCCCUCACUGAGACUGCGCAGGCGUAGCUUCUGCUCUGCCCUUUGGGAACGAGAGUCUUCCGGCUCCCUCCCUCGCGAAGGAGUGCUAGGCGCUUCCGUCCAGAAAGAACUUCAAGUACCGUGAUGCCAAGCGACUCGACGCACGCGGGGAGGAGGAAGAGGAAGGCGCUCGGAAGAGGACAAGUGGUGGCUCCAGAAUGUCUGAAGACAGGAGUCUGUCGAGUAUGUGCUUUAAGAAAUCAGGUGUGGUGGCUGCUCCUAACUCUCAGAAGAAUGGGCAAGGAAGAUAAAGGAAGCCUCUCAGGAAGCACUGUUGACUGCCAUGGGAGGUUCUUCGUGCCUGGGGAGAGCAGAGCUUCAGACAGAAUGGCUUCACUGAACUGAGCAAGUCCCACCAGCAAGAUGCUAUCAUGGAUUAAAAUGUUUGGGAAACCAGGAGCCAUCUACCGCUUGGUGAUCAUCUUAUGCUAUGAAUGUUGCCAUAAGUGGAGAGGCUUUAAACAAUACCGAUAAAGCCAUUGUACAGCUCUAAGGUGAGAUGAUGUCUGUUUUAUCACCCAACUCUGUGGAGGCUUUGGUUGAAGUCCCACUAGUACAUUUUCAGCCUUGCUGCUGCAGAUCAGUGAGCCUCACCGACAAAAGGCUUUGCAGAUGACCUCCUCGACAGAUACGAGGACAAUUCAACGGAGGAGUGGAACCUGUGGACAUGGAAGACACUGAAAAUAUAAACUCCAUCUUCAGAACAGCCGAGACAAUCUAUACAAUUACUGUCUUCACUUUACAGAUGACAGUUUGGAUGUGAACUUGGCAACAUUCCUAGGAACUCAUAGCUGGUAACAAAAAAAUAUAAUCAAGGUCAAACAGUGC
rnacentral:lncRNA from 1 species